GCCGGGCGUGGUGGCGUGCACCUGUAGUCCCAGCUACUCUGGAGGCUGAGGCAGGAGAAUCACUUGAACCUGGGAGGCGGAGGUUGCAGUGAGCUGAGAUGGAGCCACUGCACUCCAGCCUGGGCUACAGAGUGAGACUCUGUCUCAA
rnacentral:SRP_RNA from 1 species